GUGGGGAAUAUUGGACAAUGGGCGAAAGCCUGAUCCAGCCAUGCCGCGUGUGUGAAGAAGGUCUUCGGAUUGUAAAGCACUUUAAGUUGGGAGGAAGGGCAGUAAGCUAAUACCUUGCUGUUUUGACGUUACCGACAGAAUAAGCACCGGCUAACUUCGUGCCAGCAGCCGCGGUAAUACGAAGGGUGCAAGCGUUAAUCGGAAUUACUGGGCGUAAAGCGCGCGUAGGUGGUUUUGUAAGUUGGAGGUGAAAUCCCCGGGCUCAACCUGGGGACUGCCUCCAAAACUGCAUGACUAGAGUACGGUAGAGGGUAGUGGAAUUUCCUGUGUAGCGGUGAAAUGCGUAGAUAUAGGAAGGAACACCAGUGGCGAAGGCGACUACCUGGACUGAUACUGACACUGAGGUGCGAAAGCGUGGGGAGCAAACAGGAUUAGAUACCCCGGUAGUCC
rnacentral:rRNA from 1 species